CCAAUCAUUUCGCAGAAAAACAGGUUCCCCAAAUCCAAGAUACUGUGCUAACCUAGUAGAUACUGGCAAAGAUACAUUCUUCCACACAGAGCAUAUAUUUAAUAAAUAAACUAAGUUUAAUGUAUUUAGUGUUCAAAAUGUAAUAAUAUUAUAAAAAAAAUAAUAUUUAAUAUUAUAUUAGAGAGUGACACUCCUGAAAUAUUGCAGAAAUGUAUCACAGAAAGUUGAAAUCAGGUUAUGAUUUCUUGGAGGUAUCUUUAAAUAUGCUCAAUUAAGUGCAUUACUUUGAUUUGGUAUUCUUGUGUACCUUAUGUUCUCAACAAUAGCAAAAUGACUUAGUCAAUAGUUAAUAAGGGAAAACCGUAUAAGCGUAAAUCUAUAGAUUUACAAAAAGUAGUUAUACUUAGAGGUAUCUACAUCUUUUAAUAAUGAAAAUAUGAGUAGUAAUGAUAAAAAAGAAGACAUAGGCCUUAAAAAAAAAUAUGUCUUCUUUAAUGACCCAGAUAUUAUUGUUAAGCGUGCAGAGAAUUUGGUUAAUACACAUCUUGGAUUAAAAAAGCUUCAAAUAGAUGAUAGUAAGAAAGAUUUGAAAGAAACAUCUAAUAACACAUCGCAACUUGAUUUUAAAAAUGUAGAAAAUUUGUUGUCUUUUCAUCCUGUUCAACCAUAUCCAUUUACAUUUAUCAGUGCAGUUAAAAGAAAACUUUCUCUUGGCGACCAUCCAAAUACGCAGAAGAAAUUAUACGACUUUGGCAAUAAAACAGAAGGUGAAGUGUAUUCAAAAGAAUUAAAACUUAGCAGUAAUCAUAAUUUAUAUCAAGCGAUGCAAAAUAUGGCUUUUAGAGAGCCAAUAAAAGUACCGGAUUUAAAAAUGUCCGCUAAAACCUUAGAUUAUUCUUCUAAAGACAAUCCUACUUCGAAAGAUGUUGCUGGAAUAAAAUUGGCUGUAUCAUCCAAUGAUUUUGUGCCUGAAAGAUCAGAAAAAACAUCGAGGGAAAGAGUACAAAGAAAGCUAGACUUUUCAUUGUCUGAGGGGCCAUCUGUAGUAGCUUGCGAAAAUGUUGAACCUUUAAAAGCACCUAAUGUUUCAAUAGCUUCUAAUUUCUCUAAAAAAAAAGAGCAUGGUGUUAGAGAAAAUUCUAGGGAGAAGGAAAAUAGAUCAAAAAGAAUAAGAAAAGAUGAUUCUUCGUAUACAGAAAGCGAUGAAGUAUUGUAUUCUUCUUCAGAUUUUAGUAAAAGAUCUAAAAGCCCAAGACAUGUUUCUAGAAAAGAUAUUACAGACAAUACAAGUGGCUCUGUAUCAGUAGGGAGAGUUAAAAGUGAUCAUUUGCCUUUAUGCGUACCAAGAGAAUGUGAUUUUGUAUUGACUAAACCAAAGACUAAAAAUUUUGCAACUUCUACCACUAGAAAGGAUAGUGAUAAAAAGCAUAGAUGCUCCAAUGUACAAUCUACAAAAUUAAGAGAUACUUCUUUAGAAUGUAAAAAUAAGGCAAGUAAUAAUGAAUCUCAUUCGGAUCGCACUAUAAAACCAUCUGAAAAAAAUGUAAUAAAAGAUACACUUAAAAAUAUGGUAUUUGAUAGCAUAGAAUACAAAUGCAAAGAAGAUUUGCAGUCACUGAAACAAACUGAUGAGCACAAAUAUAAAUUGGAAAAUAAGCAAGUGAAACAACAAAAUAAAGUAUCAAAUCAAUCUGUUAACAAACAAGCAGGUAUAGGAAUUAAAGAGUAUAACAAGAGAAUAUAUAACAAAACUAAGACGUCUAUAAAUAGAAUUGAAGGAAAACAUUAUGUUACGUAUUCAGAUACCUCUGGUGAUGUUGAGAUUAUAUCUGACUCUAACAGCAGUAUAAAAAAACGCAACAAUACCUGUUCUACAGUUUUUACUGAACUAUCAAAGUAUAAAGAUACUGAUAAAUUUAAAACAAUUCAAAGUUUACAUUUGAAAAAAUCAGGAAAAGAUUAUGAACAUUCAAACUAUAAUGAAGAUUCUUCUUCUGUACAAUGUACAGACACGAGCAGCAAUAAAAAUGAGGCUUUCUCUCAAGAUGUUAAUGUAUCUAAUAAACUUCAAAGUAGUAAUAAUGAUUUAAGUAAUUUAAAUGAAAGCUUAUUACGAGAAGCCUUGCUAGACCCACGAUGGAUAACUUUUAGAGAUAGUAAUUAUACACAAGAAGAAUUCCGCGAUUUAGUUACACCUGAUAUGAAUCUUAUAUUUCGAUCGAAAAGAAAAAAACAAAUGGCACAGGGUAAUGAUGCCAAUGUUGAUGGUGCAAAAACUUCGAAGAAAAAACCAGAAACAAUUCAGCAUGGAAUAGAACUUUUACAUCCGACCGCUUUGCAUAUGCAGUUUCAAGCAGAAUUGCAUUUAUUAGAUUCGAUGAAUGAAUCAUUGAGACAAGUUAUGGAUGUGGAGAAAAGUUUUUACAAUGUAAAAAAUGAACAAGAAAAAGAAUUAAUACAGAAACAAAGUCAAGCUGCCGAUGAUUUUAUAUUACAUUUAGAUGAUAUGGGAAAAAACACUACAAUAGAUAAGAAAAAUGCUGAUAGAGUAUCACAAAUUAAUGACAAUACAAGCAUAGAAAAAGUUGUUACUGAUAAACGAAUGAUAAAUAAAAUUGAUGAAGCUUCUUCCAUCGAUGAACAAGUAUUCAUGCAGAAAGAGGAAACAGAAGAACAAAAUAAUAAUUUAAGAAAAUGGAAUAAAUCAAUCAUUGAAGUAGCAGAAGUUCAAACUCAAACAGUGAAUGAUAUUGGAACUCAAACUGACAUAUGUCCAGGCCGACGUAGUUUAACUAAUAGUUUUUUGGAAAUUCAUGAAAAUACGCAUGGACAUGAAUUAUCUUUAGAAGAUUAUGAAAUUCCAUUACUUUCUUUAGGCUCUAGAGAUCAAUUUGAAGAUUUGGAUCAAUUAGAAGAUCUUUCAUUGACUAGUAAAGUAAGAACAAUGUCAGAAAUCAGUUUACAUGAAACUACAUCUUCUAUAAAAACAGAAACUGGUACAGAAAUUAGUAUUUCUACGAGAGAUGUAACUUGUUCUUUUAACAAAAAUCUCGAUUUAGAGAUUGCUCAAUUGAUAAGAGAUGAAAAACAAAGAUAUGACAAAAUAGAAAUGUUAUUUAAAUCGCGUGAAAAAACAUUACAUGAUAGAACCAAAAAGUUAGUGAAAUUGGAAGAGCAAAAAAGAGCACUGAGGGAUACUGGUCAAGAUAGUCGUAUUAGUUCAGUUAAGAAAAAGCAAAGAGCUUUAUUAUUAAAAUUACAACAGGAGAAAGAUGAAAUGAAUAAAUUGAAAGAACUUCAUAAAAUUGCAAGUCAAGAACGUAAAGUAAUGUUACAGAAACAAAGAAAUAUGCUUAAUCCUCAAAUGUCUACGAAAAAUAUUUUAACAAAAUUAAAAAGAAGUGCUGAUAGUCACUCUCCACGUAGAUCAUGUGGACCAAUGAAAGGUUAUGAUAUUCGUAGUAACAGUUCAAUGAGUUCUUUAGUAGAUUCUGAUAAAUCUCUACAUGAUAAAUCUCUACACGAUAAAUCACAUAUAGAUUCGAAGAUACCACUAACAGAAAAUGAUUUGCAAUUUCAGAAAAUAAAUUUAUCGAGUACUGAAAAAAUAGCAAAUUUAGUAGACGAAUCUAAUAUUUCAUUAUUAAAAUAUGAUAAAUUAAACGACACUAUAGAAGAUUUAAAAUCACAAAACAAAUAUGCUGUUAAUUCUCCGAAGAGUAGUAAUAAAUUAAAAUACGAAUUGAGAUCCCGUAAAUUUGAAGAUAAAAUGCCUAAAGCAGAUAUUAUUAAAUUAAGAUCUCAUCAGCUUGAUGUUGAAUCCAAAUUGAUGCAAGGACAUUGCGUGAAUGUAGCUGGACAUGUACAUGAGAAACAAAAGACUAUUAGUUUACAAUCAUUACAAGAUUUAGAUAACUCAAUUACAGAAUAUGUUAAGUCAGAAUCUGAUACUUUAGUAGACGAAUUAUCAAAAAAAUCUAAAUCAUCACAAGUUGAUUUUCGAAGUGUAACCCCCUUAAAAGAGAAGGAACCAUUUUCCAGAGAUACUGCAGUAAAUACUGAAACGAUACAAGAACUAAUAACUUCCGUUGAACAGGAUGCUUUGUCAAAGACAUCAAAGUCUUCUCAAGUUUCUGAAGAUACUCUUCAAACUUAUUCAAGAAAUUCAAAGAAAACAGAUAAGUCAAUUUCUAGCGAUAAAGAAAUUACUAAAAAGUUUCAACAAAAUUCUGAGCUUAAGGCAAGCACUAAACGGAAAAAUUCUAAAUGUCAAAGAACAAGAUCAUCAUCGACCAUAUUGACAGAAAAUAUACUAAGAUCAAAAUCGAGUUCUCAAAUAGAAGAAUUUACAAAACACCAUAACAAACGCACAAAAAUAGAAAACGAGUUCAUUCAAUCGGAUAGAAAUGAUGAAGGCUCAAUUUUAGAUAAGCUUGAUCUUAGUACCGAUCGGACUAUUAAUCAGAAUGCUAUUGAAGUUUUAUUCAGGCAAUCGAAUGCUAUGAAGGAUAAAAAUUCUAAAUUAUUUGCCGAUAUAAUAGAUGAAAGCAAAGAAAAUAUUUCAGUAGAAAAUGUUUUUGAAAGAAGUCUUGAAAAUUAUAGCGACAACAAUUAUCCUUCUAAGGACAAAGGAAAGAACGCACAAAACUGUGGUGAUAUAUCUACAAGAUCUCAGCUUGGAACAUUUGCUAUUUCUAAUCAUAAUACUGUAGAUAAUGGAAAAGAAUAUACUAGAUCAAUAGUUAUCAGAUCACAAAAUCAUGAUUUUAAAACUUCAAAAAAGCUUGAACAAAUCUUGAAUGCAAGAGAAGCAGCACUUGUUUCACGUAGGAAUUGUGUAGAAGAGUGGAUGGCAUGGGAUGCACGAUUAAGAGCUGAAGAAGAACGUGUAGCACGGAUGGAACAAGCAGCUUAUAAGCUUGUCACUACAACUUCUGCUUUAUCUCAUCAAGAUUCCACACUCUCAUCCGAUACGAGUGACGUGGAAGGAAGAAUAGAAUUACUUACAGAAAAAUUAGCAGAGCGUAGAAUAGAAAUGUCACGUUUAAAAAAGGAAGCUAGAAAACAAACAAAACAAAAGCUAAAAGCAUUAGAAGCAAAUUUGUUAAACCAAAUUAAGAAAUAUGAUACAACUAUUCAUGAGAUGCGAAAAAAAUUGGAAUCUAGAAAGGAAACUGUGAAGGAUAAUGACAGAUUGGCUAUAGAGUCUAAAUCAUUGGCAGAAUUUAAAGUACCUGAUAUUCCACUUAAGAGAAUACAAGAAAUCUAUAAAAAAAGUGACUUAUUACGUUCAAGAUCAGAAUCUGAUUUAUUAUCAACAAAAAUUCAGCAAAAAGGCAUUAUUAAAAACAUCCAAUCUUUAGUAUAUGAGAGUAAAAGCGAAGAAACAAAUUUUUCAAAACCAUCACAAAUAAUUAAAAGGAAUAAUUUGGUGGAAUCGUCGAACACUAAAAAACAAGAUAUUCAUUAUAAUGUUCAAUCCAUAUUUGCAGAUUUGAAAGAUACAGAAUAUGAAAAACUCAGGUCUAUUUCAAUGUCAUCAACUUCCGACGAUGAUCAAGGCGAGAAAGCUACAAAUUAUAAUACCACAUUCCAUUCAAGUGGAACUCAAACUAAUCACACGCUUGUUUCUGUACCAGAAAUAUUAACAGCUGCAAUAUCAUCUGACAAUAAUUCAAGAGAUAUUAAAGAUGAAGUUAGUGUAAUAAAUACCGAUACAGAUAUUCUUACAACAUCUGAAUUAAAACAAUCCAAGAGUUAUAGGAGUGAUCAACUUGCAAUAAUAGAACCAAAAUCGGAUUUAAUUGAUGUUGAACAAGUGCCUUUAAAAAAUCUUGUGUCACAGUCCAACACAAUAGAAACAUCAAAAACAAAUAAUUCAAAGCUUAUUUCAAAUAAAUCAGAAACAUAUAUACCAAGCUCCAAUAUGGAACUUGCUACUAAUAAUGAUAGUGGAACGCUUACUUAUUCUAAAAAAUUACACUUUUUACAACUAAAUAAUAAAAAUCUAAAUGAAGAUAUUAAUUGCCUUGAAAACGAGCUUAAGGCUCUAUCAGAAAUGAUGUUACGAAUUAGUAGUUUAUCCAAUGAAAAGCAUGAUAAUGAAGAAGAAAAAAGUACCUUAAAAGAUAUAUCAGAAGUCUUUUCGAAAUCUGAGCUAAUCGACAAUAACACAUUAAUUUCUAAUAAAGAAAAAGAUAAAACAAUUCAAUCGGAUAUUACAGAUACGGAAAUUCCUAUUAAAACAGAUAUUAAUAUUGAAAUUUCAAGUCAUUCUACAGACAUUUCAAAAUUAAAACCCGCCAGUGAUCCUGCAGAUUUAACGGAAAAUGUAAGUCACGUUAUAUCUGGAUUAAUUCCGGAAGAAGAAAUAUUUUCCGAAUCAAAUCAAGAAAUAGAUUAUAAAGCGGAAAGUAAGAAGAUAUUAAAUGAAAUCGAAAAAUCUAUUAUAUCCGAGCAUGCAAAAAUAUUUGAAGGCGACACUAAUUCUUCAAUUAUACCAUUGGAAACAAAUACACAAAAUAUACAAAAACUUAAUAAAGAUUUUCCGUAUUAUCUACCUACUACAGAUAUUAAUAAAAAAUCAGAAUCACCAAUAUCCAUAGAAGAAAAUAAAAGUCUUAAUUAUGCGAAGGAUACAUCUGAAAGUAAUACUCCUUUGGACAAAGAAAUGAUUGAUGAUAAAAGUGUAGAUGUUCAACUUGUAGCACAGGAAUCAUACGGAGAAAAUCUUUCUGAAAAUAUAGAAUCAAUUUCAACGAAUAUAUCAGAACAAGGCCCAAUGACUGAAGACGACAGUUUGAAAAAAGGCAAUGAUGUAAUAGCAAAUGAAAGCAUAUUACAUUUAGAAAAUAUUUCACAAUUUAAAGAUAAUAAAGAUAGUUUACAAAUUGAAAAUAUUUCUUCCGCUGAAAAUAAUGAAAUACAUUUAUCUUCAAGAGACUUUACUAAUAAAGAAGAAAUAAAUACAGGUCAAUAUAAUAUUUCUAAUAGUAAAGACGAAGAGAAUAUAAUUUCACAAAAUGCAAAUACAUUGUCUGUGAAUUUAAUUAAACGUGAUUUCAAUGUUGAAGAAAAUCAAUCUGAAGUCAUUUCCACCGAGAAAAUGUCUGUAGAUAAAGAUGACUGGACUAUAUCUGAUUCAUUUAAUAUUGCUCACGAUGAAGAAGAAAAUGAAGGGGAACAAACAGAGAAUCGUGAAAUAGAAUCGCACAUUCAUAUUAGUUCUGAUUAUAAAAAUAUAUCGGAAGAAGAAAAUGAUGUCGUUCAAGAUUUUACAGAAAACUUAUCUGUUAGUAUAGAAGAUGAGUCUAUGCUUUUACCAAGGGCAGAAUCUACAAAUAUUGAUGCUCUUAAUUUAAAGAUUAAUGAAACUGACAUUGAAAAAACUGCUGAUGAGCUUGAUGAUAUAUUAGAUAUAAUUGCCAGAGAAAAUGAUAAAGUGUAUGAUAAAGAAGGAAAGCAAUAUGUAGGAACAGACAAAACCAAUGAAACCAUAAACGAUAUAAAAUCUAUUAAAUCAUCCAUUACUUUAGGAAAAGAAAAUGACAACAAUAAAUUGGAUGAAAUUAGCAUUCAAACGAAGAUUAUCUUAGAAACAGAUAAUAUGGAUCUUACGAUAGAAAGUCCAUUCCCAUCUAUUACAUGCGAUUCUACACUUGAUGAUAAGUUGCAGAUUCACAAAUUGUCAACAAGUGACAAUAAUACAAUUAAUAUUACUCCAUUAUAUUUAGAAUACAAUAAAAAUCGUAUUAAUGCAAGUAGUGACGCGAUAGAUAUUCCAUCCAAUAAAUUAGAUGAUGUAUCUGUGGUAAAUAUUGAAUUAAAUUUAGAAAUAGAAAGUAAAGAUACUGUCCAACAAGAAAUAGUUCAGUCACGAGAAAUAAUAAUCACAAAAUCUGAUUCAGAAAGUACUGAAGAUUUAUUACCGCAAUUAGAAAUUAGUACUAAGAUUGAAUUAUCCGAUGAAGAACUAAGUGGUAAAAAUAAUAUUCACAAUGAAAAUAAGGAAUCUCACGUAACUUAUCUUACUGCUAUCGAAAAAGAAAGUAAAUCUCCAAUAAUUGAAAAACAAAUAGAUUUAGAAUCAUUACCAGAACCAGAAAGUUCUGAGGGUGAACAACUUGAUAAUUUAGUUGAAAUUGCGGAAAGUAGUUUAGAUGUGAUAGAAAAACUUUCUGAAGCAGCAGAAAUACAUUCUAAUAAGAGUGCUAGCUUAUCAGAAAAUAAUAAACAAGAAGAUAUUGAAAGAAAUCUUUCACGAGAAAAUGAAUCUUCGAAUAAUUGUCAAUUUACGCAGGAACAAAAUACAGCUACAACAAAUGCUAUUGAUAUUAUUGCUAAAGCACAAUUUGAAGUAUUAAGAGAUCCCGAAUAUGAAGAUAUCUCUGAGGAAAGUCUUGAAGUAUCGGAAAUUCUUGAUAAAACAGAAAGUCAAAAAACACAAAGUUUACAAAAGGGAACGACGAUAUCAGAAAAUUAUCAAGCAGUGCACAAUACUGAAGUAUUAAGGAUACUAGAUGAAAUUACUCAAAAAUCAUUGCCAGAAUUGAUAAAAACUUUACAAGAAGAUAAAAAAGAAGUGCAACCAGUUGAAACAACGUCUACUAAAGAAGUGACUGAUCCAUCUUUAAUAGAUAAUGAAAAUCAAAUAAUACAAAUAGAACAAUCAACUGAUCCAAAUAUUGAGAUUAUGAAAGAUACAGUAUCAGAUAAUUCCAAAUUGACUGAAAUUGAAACUGAAGAAGUUUCUAAUAAACUGAAUGAUCUAUUAUCUCAAUCUGAAGGAAAAGACGUUAAAGUAAUAAGUGACGUAGAUCAGAGCGCGAUACAGAAACACGAAGAUGUAUCAUCUGAUUCUAGCGAGGGCGGUGAUACUCCUGUUGGUGUAUCAGAAAUAGAAAUAGAUUCACCAAGAGAUCUAAAUAACUCCAGAUUGAAUAUUGAUGCCUUGGACGAUGAUCUACUUAGUAAUACGAAUAUAGGAAAACAAGAUCAAUCAAAAACGGAUUUUCACGCAACACCUAUUGUUACUACAUCGGAAAAAGACAUAGAAGCAAUGAUCGAUAAAAUAAAAGAAUAGCAAAGUCGAGAUAAUAUUUACCUAAAGCUUCAUUGAAACAACCAGGCUUAGAAGUUGCUGACUUGGAGGCUAAGCUACUUCGUAUACAACAACUUCAAAUUGAAUUAGAGAUCAAAAAAUUGGAAGCUGAAGAGGUAUAUUAUGUUAGAGAAAUACCGAAUAAACCUCCACCACCAUAUACACCUCCAGGAGAUAAUCGAAUUUCCAUUGCUAUUGCUUCACCUUCUCCGCCUCCUGCAGUAAUUCCUUCGAAUAUCGAAGAGUUAACAGCUUUCACGGAAAAGGCUACAGCUUUAAUAUACAAAGCUAAACAAUCCGGACAAGAUAUUAUGACUUUAGAAGCUCCUCCGGAAAUUUACGAAUUAACAAAAGAAAGUAACGAGAUCGCGAAAAAAGAUCGAAAGAUCUACAAUACAUUCCUU
rnacentral:misc_RNA from 1 species